GAUGAAGAACGUAGCGAAACGCGAUAUGUAAUGUGAAUUGCAGAAUUCAGUGAAUCAUCGAAUCUUUGAACGCACAUGGCGCCUUCCAGUAUCCUGGGAGGCAUGCCUGUCCGAGCGUCGUUUCAACCCUCGAGCCCCCGUGGCCCGGCGUUGGGGAUCUGCCCAGGCAGUCCCCGAAAACCAGUGGCGGACCCGUUACAGGCCCUUCCCUUGCGUAGUAGCAUUCGCCUCGCAUCGGGAGCCGGCGGGCUUCCAGCCUCUAAACCCCCAUCAAGUCCGCCCCGGCGGCACCAAGGUUGACCUCGGAUCAGGUAGGAAUACCCGCUGAACUUAAGCAUAUUAAUAAGCGGAGGA
rnacentral:misc_RNA from 1 species